AACCUUCUGUUUUACUGGCUGGCUGAGAGUCCCGGUGAAUCGCAGGACAUGAGGGUGCAGGGCCCUGACUUCCCCACUCUCCGUGACACCCAGCACGUGAUGUAACAGUGACCCUGCCCUGAAGAGAGAGGCUGCUUUGUAUGUCCUUGGGUUUAAGUCCCAGUAAACCGACAGGUCUGGUAUUCUGCCCUGGUGACACAGGUCUGUGGCCAUUCCUAGCUCUCCUGGGAGGCUGCAUGCUCUAACAGUCACCCCCGGUUGCUGAGCGCUCAACUGCUGCAGACAAUCACAGCUGCCUCUUGGUUGGGGGAGAGACGGUCCCUCGGCUACAGGCCUGGGCCCAGCCCAUUGAGAGCUUGGAGAUCAAGACCAGGACCUGCACCUGAUGCAAUGACGAAGCUGUGCAGUGCUGAGCACCCCAUGGCAAUGCGCUCCUGACAGCCCCAUGCUGCCAGCAUACACUGAGCAGGAGCAGCUCACAGAACCAGCUGUCAGUGAGCACAAUACCUCUGCUGGGAGCAGCUGUCCUGAGGAGAACAGACCUGCUGCUCAUUCCACUGCAACGUGCAGGGUGUUUCACCGAGUCCUAAAUGGCCCCCAUGACACCAGCCAGGUGAAGCGGCUAGUGCCUCCCAGGAGCAAGUGGCGGCAUGUCAGGGAAGGAAACAAGCCCCAGUGCUGAAAGAUUAUCGGAGCAGAAACAAGCCUCCUGCAUCCCCAAGAAUGGCCUGUUUUGGUAGAAUGCAGAGCCCGGCCCAGAGGGAAUUUCACUGCAGACUCAGAACUCUUGCUCCUGCAGCCACACGCAGGCAGGAACUAACCCAGCUGCAGAUGGAUCUCGCAAUGAAAUGCUACAAAACAGAGCAGCCUACGGAGGGCACUUAGAGAAAGACGUCUACAGGACAGGUCCAUGGGGGUGGGGGACAGCCUCCAGACAGGCAUGGGGUCCGGGCGCCCUGGGCAUGCAGACAGGCACAGAAGAGGGGAAAGUUUGCCCCAAAGCAGCAUGGGAGCCCCAUGAACAUGCCCCUGCCCCAGGAGCAGAGAGCACUCAGGACACUCGCUCUCUGAAAAAGAUUCCAGAGUCUGCAGUGUGUCCUCAGCCCAGAGAUCCCAGCGCUGAACUAGGGUCUGUGUCCACUCUGCUCCAGCGUGCAGAGCCCUGGAUCCUGGUUGCUCCCAGCCAAAGAGCUUCCAGACAAGCUCCAAUGUUCUGAGCACUUUCUAUUAAAAAUUCAGAGCCA